rnacentral:rRNA from 1 species
UACGUAGGGGGCAAGCGUUGUCCGGAAUUAUUGGGCGUAAAGAGCGUGUAGGCGGUCCGGUAAGUCAGCUGUGAAAGUCAAGGGCUCAACCCUUGAAUGCCGGUUGAUACUGUCGGGCUAGAGUCCGGAAGAGGCGAGUGGAAUUCCCGGUGUAGUGGUGAAAUGCGUAGAUAUCGGGAGGAACACCAGUGGCGAAGGCGACUACCUGGCCUGUUCUUGACGCUGAGGCGCGAAAGCUAGGGGAGCGAACAGG